rnacentral:rRNA from 1 species
AUGUUGUUGCUCUUUAGUAUGUGCCUUAUGAGUUACAGCUUGCGGACUUCUUCACGAAGCACCCUGCGGCUCAACAGCACGGUCAGGCUCGACGCCGCCGCGCGGCUGAUCACCGUCGAGAGCGGCGUGCUCCUCCGGGACCUGAUCCGGGCCGCCGCCUACGUGGGGCUGGCGCUCCCGCACUCGCCCUACUGGUCCGGCGUCACGAUCGGGGGCCUGCUCGUGACGGGCGCGCACAGGAGCUCGCUAUGGGGCAAGGGGGUGUUGUUCAUGAGUACGUCGUCGGGCUGA